GUCAGUAUCCCAGAUCCAGGCCUGAGUUCCUCAUCUUGACUCAAUGACAAAUGUAGGAGGAGUCUUUACAUAUUUGAACAGUAGCAGCAAAUCUCUCUUCAUUAUCUGAACACUGGAACCACCACGAUGUGUCUGUGCUCUCUGACUGUCUUUAUGAUCAUACUAAGGAACUGUGUUUCACAGUCAAUAGCACCACUAGAGGACAAAAUGCAGGUUCAUGCUCUCGAAGGUGAGAGAGCUAAUCUCUCCUGCAAGUAUGAGAAAGCAAACUAUUUGUUUUGGUACCGUCAGUAUCCUGCAUCCAGACCAGAGUAUUUACUGAUGAUCAUCCCAUCAACAAAAUCUGUAACUCCAGUCCUCCAGCAACUGAAAGCUGAAGUGGAUGGAAAAAGAGUGGAUCUGUUGAUCUCCUCUGCUGCAGUAUCAGACUCUGCACUCUACUACUGCGCCAUGACGCCCACAGUGACAGGAAACCCAGCUACACUGUACACAAAGUGUUUCAUAUGACUCACACAGGGCAGUGCUGUUAUCAACAGGGGGAGCUAUUUGUCUUUUUUCGUUUAGACUUUCAGCUUUUUAAACCUCCAGGCUAGAAUACUAGAUUGCUCUGGAACACAACUUAUCAAGUUGACAACAAAAAGCUGAUGCUGCUUUUCUAAACUUUACACACAUUUAUCAUAUUAGUGUUUAAUCAGCAGAUACACAGAAAAAUGUUUCUGGAAUCAUAUGACAUCAUAAUGUUCUACUAUUAUGAUACAAACAGAUUUGCAUUUUGCAGUGUGUGAUGUAAUUUGUUAAACUUUUCCAUUUUUCCUUAUUUUAAGUAC
ensembl:lncRNA